rnacentral:pre_miRNA from 1 species
UUUAUGUGUGUAUGUGGUGUGUGUGAUUUGUGUGUGUCGUCUCCAUGUAAACCACAUACAAAUCACACACACUACACACACACUUAAA